UCUCUGGAGAUUUGCCAUUUUGAUACCGACUAAAGAUCAGUGGCAUGUAUAUAUACUUUGAGAAAAUUAUGUUGAGAUGACCCCUCAUUGCAACCACAACAGACCUAAUUAUAAUCUUUUUACUUUUAUAAGAUAAAUCUUUUUGAAGUAUUAAUUCUAAUCAAAACAAUGGGAUUAUCUCACCCAGGGGUAAGCAUAACCCCCUUCACUAAUAUCCUUCACUGUAUACUUAAAACAAAUCAUGUAUCAAUAGUAACUUCUCAAUAGUCUUCUCUCCCAUUUAGUUGCAUUCGAUGAAACUACAGUGGAAUAGGGCCAUUCCAUUCCCUGAACAGGGUAGAUGGGAUUUGACAGGAUGUUUAUAUAAGCUGUAGGCGAAAUAGUGGUGUAGGCGAUAUGAGGUCAAACCCAUUAACUAACAUA